rnacentral:rRNA from 1 species
CGUGUGAGUAACAUAUCGGAACGUACCGGGUAGGCGGGGGAUAACUGAUCGAAAGAUCAGCUAAUACCGCAUACGUCUUGAGAGGGAAAGCAGGGGACCUUCGGGCCUUGCGCUAUCCGAGCGGCCGAUAUCUGAUUAGCUGGUUGGCGGGGUAAAGGCCCACCAAGGCGACGAUCAGUAGCGGGUCUGAGAGGAUGAUCCGCCACACUGGGACUGAGACACGGCCCAGACUCCUACGGGAGGCAGCAGAU